CAGUCGCCGCGGUAAUACGAACCGUGCGAACGUUAUUCGGAAUUACUGGGCUUAAAGCGCGUGUAGGCGGGUCGGCACGUCGGUCGCUGAAAUCCCCCGGCUCAACCGGGGAAGUGGCGCCGAUACGGCCGGCCUGGAGGGGGGUAGGGGGGCCUGGAACUUCCGGUGGAGUGGUGAAAUGCGUUGAGAUCGGAAGGAACGCCCGUGGCGAAAGCGAGGCCCUGGACCCUUUCUGACGCUGAGACGCGAAAGCCAGGGGAGCGAACGGGAUUAGAUACCCCUGUAGUCCCUGUCUCUUAUA
rnacentral:rRNA from 1 species